UACGUAGGGGGCGAGCGUUGUCCGGAUUUAUUGGGCGUAAAGAGCUCGUAGGCGGUUGGGCAAGUCACGUGUGAAAUCUCCACGCUCAACGUGGAGGCGCCACGUGAGACUGCCCUGACUAGAGUCCGGUAGGGGAGCGUGGAAUUCCCGGUGUAGCGGUGAAAUGCGCAGAGAUCGGGAGGAACACCCGUAGCGAAGGCGGCGCUCUGGGCCGGUACUGACGCUGAGGAGCGAAAGCGUGGGGAUCAAACAGG
rnacentral:rRNA from 1 species